UCUUUAGUCCCAUAUCCAAAUGCAUAAAACGCUUCAUAUUCCUAUUCUUCUUUAUCCAAGUCAAGCUGAUCCGGCUUAAUCCAAGUCAAGCUAAAAAGGUGAACACAAACGGAGCCAAGAGUCUCUCAGGCUAAAAAGGUGAACAUAAAACGCUUCAUAUUGCUUCAGACCCUCAUUUCUUAAAAAAAAAAAAAGAAAACCCGGACAAAACCUCUCUCGACAUACCCUCGAGACACCAUCAAACUGUAGACCCAGACAUUUGUUUGCCAAAAAUUUCAACAGAAAAAAACUGUUACGUUGCAUGCAUGUAUUUGUAGACGAUCAAGCUGCAUUUACAUGUUUCUUCCUUAAUGUGCUAUCUUACGCUCACAAGAUAAUUGCAAGUUAAACUUUCCGAAAAGAGAUUGCAGAUAAACUGUUUGAUGAAAUCCCUGAACCGUUUUCUUUCCCAACAAUGGCCAAUUUGCAGGGUUAGGAACUUAGGUGCCACUGUAACACAUUUCCUGAACCGCCUCCUCUUGUGAAAGUUGGAGCUCUGUGAUUUUCGGCUUCUGCUCGUGCUGGGAUUCGUUCGACGACUUCCGACUUUCAACCCGUGCAAACUAGAAGUACGAGCAUUAACCGGAACAUUGAAGAGAGAGGUGGUUUGGAAGUUGUCAGGCACCAUGAAAGAGUUACUGUUGUUUGCAUAUUCUGACCGAUUUGUACUCUCAGUUUCACUAUCCGGUUUGCUGCUUUUAACUUCAUCCUUUUGAUUUGGGACUUGGACUUGGCCUUGGGCCUUCCUGUUAAGAAGAAGAACAAGAAUUAGGAAUUGUAAACAAAUCGAAAAAAGAAAAAAUGAAUACAAAAUCUAGAUUCUAGAACUCUACCUUCUUCUAAGCCUUCUCCACUUUAGAUGGAGCAUGAAUUGAAUAUUGUCAAGGAGUUGGAAAUAUGCAUAUCUCCACGUCCUCUUGAGAAGCAAAGGGCAACAGAAUCCCAAUAACCCUACAAAGAAACCAAGCA